AACGUAGGUGGCAAGCGUUAUCCGGAAUUACUGGGCGUAAAGGGUGUGCAGGCGGGGAAGCAAGUGGUGUAUGAAAUAUCCCAGCUUAACUGGGAGGGGUUAUGCCAGACUGCUUUUCUAGAGGACGAGAGAGGGGGGUGGAAUUCCGGGUGUAGUGGUGAAAUGCGUAGAGAUCCGGAGGAACCCCAGAGGCGAAGGCGGCCUCCUGGCUCGUACCUGACGCUCAGCCACGAAAGCAUGGGGAGCGAACGGG
rnacentral:rRNA from 1 species